AACCUUUAGCUAGAACAAAUAUUAAAGGCAACGCCUGCCCAGUGAACAAUUAAACGGCCGCGGUACCCUAACCGUGCAAAGGUAGCGUAAUCAUUUGUCUAUUAAUUGUAGACCCGUAUGAAAGGCAUAAUGAGAGUCUGCCUGUCUCUUAUAAUAAAUCAAUUAAACUGAUCUCCUAGUAAAAAAGCUAGAAUACCAACAUAAGACCAGAAGACCCUGUGAAGCUUAAACUAAACUAUUAAACCCUAUAAUACCUACUUUCGGUUGGGGCGACCUUGGAAAAAAAAAGAACUUCCAAAUACAUGACCAUAACUCAUCCAUCAGGCCAACAAGCCUAACACGACCCAGUACAACUGACAACUGAAACAAGUUACUCCAGGGAUAACAGCGCUAUCUUCUUCAAGAGUCCAUAUCAAAAAGAAGGUUUACGACCUCGAUGUUGGAUCAGGACAUCCUAAUGGUGCAGCCGCUAUUAAGGGUUCGUUUGUUCAACGAUUAACAGUCCU
rnacentral:rRNA from 1 species